rnacentral:rRNA from 1 species
GACGAACGCUGGCGGCGUGCCUAAUACAUGCAAGUCGAACGAGAGCGACCGGUGCUUGCACUGGUCAAUCUAGUGGCGAACGGGUGAGUAACACGUGGGUAACCUGCCCAUCAGAGGGGGAUAACAUUCGGAAACGGAUGCUAAAACCGCAUAGGUCUUCGAACCGCAUGGUUUUAAGAGGAAAGGAGGCGCUCGCUUCUGCUGAU